AUGGAUGUUUUUUUGCAGAUGUGUGGAAUGUAUAGAGCCAAACACAUGUGGCCCUCCCAAGUGGCCUGCUUGGAAGAUUGCACAAAUCUUUUCCAACUUCCCAAUAACUUUGCUGUAGCUCAGAACACUUCUGAAGUUUACCCGCUAGAGCUUAUACUGAGGCUCACUUUGUAAGUCACGUAAGAAAACGGUUUGCUCCCUCAGCGAGAGGGUCAACCUCGGUAGGGGCAGAGUUAUGAACACCUUUCUUGGUCCAGAGGAGUGGGAAGUGAGCCCACUGUACUGGCAAAGAAAUGAUUGCAGAAGGAAAUCACAGGCCAACCAGGAGCUGGGCAGGCCUCAGGGACUAACGGAAAUUAUAGCGAAAAUGCGAAAGGAAUGGGGUCUGGUGAUGAUCCUGCUUUUGGGCGACUGGUCAGUCCGUCCAAUGGAAACGCUUGAGAAAUGGCUCCGAGCCUCCUCAGUCCCUGGGGGAAGAGAGGACAGGAGCACCUGUCAGCUCCUUCUCCUGCCACACUUCCCUCUCCCCCAACACCACGGCUCAUGCCUCACGCUUGUAUGGACAAUAAAACCAAACAACGCAAACAACACAACACAUUAAUUCCAGAACCUUUUGGUCGUGAAGGGCAGCAUGGCUGGUUGACCCACAGAAAGCAAAGGGAAGGCAGAAAAUAUAGCCCCAAAUGUCCUCUACAUUCUUUCUUUUGUAUGUCACAACCAUUUAAAAAAAAUUCUAGAACCUUUAUUCUCUUCCUUCUCCUCUCAAGAAGACAGGUCUGUAGGAUCCAUAAACGGAGUUUCUCAUGGAUUCAUGUUGUCUAUACUUUAUGUCAUGGCCCCUCCUGUAGGCAAGAGCCCUGAAAAGCUCCGGCAAGCAUCGAGCGGUGGACCUCACUGAUCAGAAGUUUGUCCCUAUAACUUCUACCCACUGAUUCCAGAUGUAUUGCGGCAACCACAUGAAACCAGGAUGACCCUUGAACAUCUCUCCGUGUCUACUUUUAUCCAUGCCCAACAGCCUUAUUUUCGAUGGUUUUUCCUAAGAGAGACAGAGCAUGAACAGGGGAGAGAGGCAGAGGGGGAGAGAGAGA